rnacentral:misc_RNA from 1 species
AGGAGGCGCAGCAGCAGCGG